UAAUCUAUUUGCUACCUCAGCUUGGCCUA
rnacentral:piRNA from 1 species